rnacentral:rRNA from 1 species
GUGGGGAAUCUUGCGCAAUGGGCGAAAGCCUGACGCAGCCAUGCCGCGUGAAUGAUGAAGGUCUUAGGAUUGUAAAAUUCUUUCACCGGGGACGAUAAUGACGGUACCCGGAGAAGAAGCUCCGGCUAACUUCGUGCCAGCAGCCGCGGUAAUACGAAGGGGGCUAGCGUUGCUCGGAAUUACUGGGCGGAAAGGGCGCGUAGGCGGACAGUUUAGUCAGAGGUGAAAGCCCAGGGCUCAACCUUGGAAUUGCCUUUGAUACUGGCUGUCUUGAGUACGGGAGAGGUGAGUGGAACUCCGAGUGUAGAGGUGAAAUUCGUAGAUAUUCGGAAGAACACCAGUGGCGAAGGCGACUCACUGGCCCGUUACUGACGCUGAGGCGCGAAAGCGUGGGGAGCAAACAGGAUUAGAAACCCGGGUAGUCC